rnacentral:lncRNA from 1 species
UGCGAAGAGAAGAGCGCUGAGGCACGAAGGGUCUCGCACACAAUAACACCCCGUCCUCGGCUCGGCUCGGCGGGGUCCGGGGGGAGGCGGCGGGCGAGGCGCGGCUGCGGGCUUCCCCCUCUCAGAGGCCCCGGGAGCUGUUGGCGGCUCCGGUGCUGCCCGGCUGCGGCGGCCGCCGCUUCAUUGUACGCUGCCCCUGCGCCCUCCCCCCGCGCUGAGCCCCCGGGGGCGGAGGAGGAGCAGGCGGCGGCGGCGGCGGAGGAGGCGGCGGGGGCCGAGGCCGAGCGGAGGAAGUUUUGACAGCUCCAGCUGUUGUGUGUGUCGAGGGCUGAGUCCGGCCGGGCUGCGCGUCCCCUUCCCAGCCGGGCCGGGAGCAGGAAGUUUAACUUUGGGGAAAGAAGGAGGAGGAGGAAGGGUGAAAAAGGGGGAGGAGGAAGGAGGAGGAGAACGCUCCCCCCCCUCCUCCCUUCUCUCUCCCCUCCCCGCGGGCUCGCGGGGUGGAGAAGGGAUCCCGGCUCUGCCCUGGUGCGUAACCCCCCGCCUUCCCUUCCCCUCCCCCUGCCGCGGCCCCACACUGCGCCUGCCCGCCCCGCCCGUCCCAGGCGCAGACACCCACCGCCGCGCCACGCUCACCCGCGGGCUGCGGGGAAAGCGCGGAGCGGGGCCGGGACGGAACGGAACGGGACGGGACGGGCUCUCGGCGCGCCGCGCUCGCUCCCCACCCUCAACCUUAUUCUUUUUUGUUCUAUGCAUUUUAUUUUCCCCGGGGGUUGAGAGCGGGGGGCCCCGGCUCCGCGUACGCCGCCCAGCCCCGAGCCGCUGGGGCACGGCCGUCCCCAGCCCCCUCUUCCAUCCCCCCGCCGUCGCUCGGAGGAGCCGCGGCCGCCCCCGGGGAGGGGAGGGGAGGAGGGAGCAGAGUUCAGCGCUGUGCGCGGGGGAGACAAAGUCUGGGGAGCUGUGGCCGCUUUCCAGCAACUCCGGCUGGAACAGCUGCGGCCGCUCCGGGCGGCGGGCGGGCUCCCCGGGCAGGGGCCUCGCUGGCUGCCUGCCCGACCGGCCGCGCCGCGCCUCGGGGCGGGGUUAAGCCUCAUUACACGGGAUUUAACGUGGCCCGGAGGCCGGGAGGGACUCCGGCUCCGAAGGGGAGCGGGGGGAGAGGGGGAGGUGCGGCCGCAGCAAAGUCUGGCCCCGGGCUUCCCCCCCGGGCACCGCCCUGAGGACAGCCCUCGAGGCGCCCUGUUCCCCCCCCCCGCCCACUGCCAACUCGGGGCCCCCGGCCGGGCCUCCCCGUUUCGGCCCUCCCCGCUCCGGUCCUCCUUCGGCCGCUUUGCCUCACGCGUGUGGGGAGAGGAAGGCAGAGCGCGGCCGCUGGGUCGUGAGGUGGGGCGUGCGGGCAGAGCCGAGCUCCGCGCGGGGAACAACUUCGGCGGGCUCUGGAGAUGGUGGGCAAGGAUAGCGGCAGGGCUCCGGGGAACGCACAUAAAGCUGCGAGAGCCCUUCGCUGGGUUUUUCAGCCCUCUGUCGUGUCAGGUUUGCUCUCUGUGUGAAUCCCGGUUGAUAGCACAGCUUAAGGAAGCACGCAGGUACAGCGGCAAAGGAGGAGAUCACUUUAAGGCCCGCUUUUUUUGACACAAAACCAAACACACAGCAAUGCAGACCUUACUGUGUGCUUCCUCACCAAAAUUCUCGCUUGUCGGCUUCAGGAAUACCACAUGAAAAACGACAUGCUGUGGCAAACACAGCUUUUGCUGGCCUGUUUUCCUGGGAACUGUUUCAUAACAAAAAGACUUUGUUGGUUCAUUCCCUGGGUAAUUAAAUGAGAUCUUGGUGAUACUGUCAUAUAUAUGUGUGGAGAUAAAGGUGGUAGAGGUAUCUCUGUCUGUACACACGCGUAUGUAUGAAGCCAUCCCGUUUCUCAGCUGGGCUGUUGCUGUGACUUCCUUGGCCCUGUUGCUGAAAAUGGGUUAAUUUCUGCCAACAGAAAAAGCACACCCUGAGCUCAGCGUUUGUAUGACAAAGUCUUUAAAUUGCUACAGGGGUGUGCUGCUCCUAGGCUUCAGAUACGGGAGCUCAGAUGUUUAUGUGUUGCCUAACACAUACAAAAGUGCCUCUGAAUUUUGUUAAUUCGGGUAAGUUAGCCUGAUGUAGCUGAGGACAUUUAAUUCUACACCAGCCCAGGCCUGGCUGGAAGGGAAGGGCUGGGAGCGGGAAGGAAAGGGCCGCAGCCUCGGCACAGCAGGAGCAUCGGUGUGGCAUUUGCAGGAGUCACCAGGUUGCCAUCUGCUCUGGUAAAAAAAAUGGCCAUCCCCUGAAGUAGUGACUGUGCCUGUGCGGAUCUGCUGCACAUGCGCGGCGGCUCCAAUGAGUCCAGGAUGUGUCAGAGCUGCUAUGCAUGUGCAAAUUGAUUUGAGCUUGGACACGUGAGCGUGCUGUGGGCUCAGAUCCACUGCUAGGUGUGUGAGGGAUAAUUGCCACAGCCCGCCGCUGAAAUACGGUCAGUGCAGUCACCACAUUCACUUGGUUCAUGCAUUGCUGCCACAAAGAUGUUGUUGAGGGCCUUUAGAUCAAUGUGAGCGGUUGAGCUUUGGGCAGCUUUUGUUUUGUUUUGUUUCAUUUUUUGCAACAGCAGAUGUAUGUUCAACAGCGUUGACCUUUUUCUCCAUUGUUUCUUCCAUUCAUUAUGCUUCUAUGUAGCUGUUACAAUACCAAAUCCUGGUGGGGGCAGGACCAAGCCAGCUUUGGUAUAGCCUGGUCUGGGAUAAGAGUACCUUAAGGGGCUGCUGUCCGUCAGUUACACUGCAUUAUCUCAUGACGUGUCAGGACAAAGCUGGGCAGAUCUGCUCUGCGAGCUGCUGCCUCCAUUGCUGUGGCAAUCAGAGGUGUGAAGGACCGAAAGAGCAGUGAGAGCAGGAGCCCGGGGGUGGGAUUGUAGCGCUGUGUUUGUAGCAUGAUUUAUGGCAGGGGGACAGGCUGGGAGAAGUGGUGUCACCAAACGUAAAUCCACGAUGGGAGCGCUUUGUUGAUUAAGGGCAUUUGAGCGGCUUUGUCAGGAAAAAUGUUCAGUUUAUACCACACUACCAGCUAUCAUAAAUUAUCUCUGCCUGGAAAAUAGACAUUUUUAUAACAAAGGCAUAAUACUAAAUGAACGCGUCCUCUGAUUUACUGAAUGCAAAGAGAUCUUCCAGCUCACUGUAAACUAACUCAGAUGAAACUGACGUUCCUUGUCUCUUCUUUUCUCUCUUAAACUCUAAGGGCGGGUAGCUUCAAAAGUUUCAACUGCAUUUUUACCUUCUGUUCUUCCUGGAAUCAGCAUUUCUGUGCCUUUGGUAUUAUUCCUAAAAUCUAAGUGAGACCCUGGCGGUACUGAUUAAACGAGGCACGUUUACAGUUCUGACUUAAAGGUAUCUUAAGUUGUCCCAGUGUGCUCAGUGAGAAACAGUGAUGUUUUCAUGCGUGAUAAUAGAACAAGUUGAAGGCAGCACAUCGCAUUAAACCAGCUAGUUAAGGAGAAGGGUCUUGGUUUGGAAAUCAUUGAAGGGAAGUGGCAACUGGUAUGUAAGUACACUUGUUCUGUAAAUACCACUCACACUAUUAUGCAACUAGAAGAGUCCAUGUAACAAAUAGUGAGAAAUAAGGUCGUUCCGGAUUCUAUCUGGAAUGGGAUCCAGACACUUUUAUGACAUUAAUUCCAAACUCUGACAGUUUAAUGAUCGUUAAUUGUGCACUGUAGUCAACAUCAGCUUACUGCAAUGUACUGCUCGGGAAACUGGUGAGUGCUGCCAGAUCCAUGGUGUGACAGUGGCAAAGUGCAGGGAAAGGUGCAGUGUGUAAAGCCAUGUUACAGUCUAAGCUCCCCAUCCCCUGCCUGCUUUAAUGUGAUUAGUUUAGUAUGUGUUAAAGGCAGCCUUGCCUGUGCCGUGAUGUAUGUGCUAUUAUCACACCUUUACACCUUAGUCUUACCAAAGCCUGAAGGUUUUUCAUCGUAUUAAGCUACUUUGACUGGGCUAACAUAGCCGAGAAACACAGCUAUUUCAUCCAUUAAGAUGGGGCCAAAAAUGCUAAGUGCUUAAGAUGCAAGCCCCCAGGGCUUGUCUAUAUAUCGAGUUAUUACACGUGGAGACUUUUAUCUUCAUAAGAAAGUGUUCUUUUUGUGCAUGCCAAAGUGUGAGUUUAAAACUGGUGGUUAUACUCUAACCCUCAUGCAGGGCUCACUCAUUCUGCAACUUCUGGCUUUUUUCAGAUUAACUUCUUCCAAGUAAUUUAAAUUAAGUCCAAAAAGGUGCUCAUAUUAGAUGAAGUUUGCAUGCAAGGAAUUACACUUGCCUACGCUGCAGUGGUAGUACUUGAAUGCAUCAGUAACUUCACUGAAGAUCACUGCAUCCUGAUGGAAGUUUGUUCUGUGCUUAAGGGUUUGCAGAAAUGUGUAAAUCCUUCCUAAACUUGCAAUUUCUAUCAUUUGUUCUUGUAAUGUAUCGAUGGACUGUGCUAUGCUAUGUGGUAUUUUGUUAGCAUCUCUGUGAAGUUUGUAAAUCAUCCACAGGUUACUUAGGAACUUCAGUCUGUUCCAUCUUCGCUGUUUGUCUGAUUAGUGGCAACGUAUACAUUGCUUACAACUUCAUGAAAAUGACAUUUUAUAAUCACUGAUACUCUGAAUUUUAGUUUUGAUGUAUCGGUGGUGGUGGGUGGUGGAGAGGGAAACUUGUGGGAAAUAUUACUCAAUGUAUGAGUCUGGUUUUUUAAUCCAGAAGUGCAGAUUGCCAAUGGUUUGAGUAAAAUCCAAUUAGCAGCUGAAAGCAGGACAUCCCUUGGGUUGAAUGCUGGCAGCAUCACAGGUACGUGCAGGCCAGGAAAAGCCCACAGCCAGUAGCAGGCACGCAGGGCAGGAGCACACUGUGUGCACCUGUGAGGAAAGGCACAGAGCGAUCGGUGUGAAGGCAGCACUUUGCCGUGCAGAAGAUUAAAUACAUAUCUGAGCAGUUUGCUGUUUGCAGGAGUGGUGCUUUACACUCAGGUUACGUAACAGAAAUAAGAACCUGGCCACAGAACGGGGGAAAUGAUUUGGUUUUGUGACUAGAGCUGUCUCUGUUCUGCUUCGCACAGGCCCAAGUGCCUGCAGUCGUGGUUCCUGAUAAGAUACCUGGCACGCCGUGAUAUUUGGAAUUGGGAUGCUGUUAGUAGGGCCAACCUUGUCCUGUGUCACCCGUUUUGUCAGGAAAUAAUCUCUGACCUUUACUUUUAAAGGAACUGUAAUGUGGGACAGACGGGUGCCUAGAAUUGAAAUGGGGAGAACACUGGGAGCCCAAUCCUGUUUGCAGCUGUUUACUUUGAGAAAGCUGCAUGUCUGAGUAAGAGCAGCAGAAUUUGGCCUUUGAUUUUUGAAGGUAAUUGCAACCAGUGUAUGGGGAUGUGUCACCCACAUGAGGUCGAGCCAGAAUUCACUUAUUUACUUCCUUUAAUAUCUAUUGUUUUAAACUAGCUACCUACAUACCAAUAUGGAAACAACAGCAGAAUCUCCCCUGUCAAGACUACACUUGAGGUUCUGAAUUACAUAUAUAAUAAAGACUGUGCAUGCAUUUUCUGGCUGAGAACAAAGUUGUUAUGUUUCAGCCUCUAGCAAAAAUUUUCCCCAAGCCAUAGCCCCUCCACAAAAACACACAUUUUAAUGAAAGUCCUGACACCACCUUAAUUACAGUGCAGCAAACAUUACCACCAUAAUCCCAUUUCCUCCUUAGGCAAGGAGAGCAUCCCUAGGGGCCUGGCUGCCUUUCUUUACUAGUGACCAGUUUUUCACCAACUGCCUUUUCCCGAGUGCUUUGGGUUUUUUUUUGGUUUUUUUUUUUAAUUAUUUAUUUAACCUUUAAUGCACUGCUGUGAGGGAGAUGAGUGGGGAAGUGCUGAUGCUCAUCUUCCUUUGCUCCUUGCAGCCCUCCUGGUGCUCCCUGUAGCUCUUUGCCUGGAGAAGUGGAGGAUAUCCCCCGCACAGCCUGGUUUUCAGCAUCCUUGUAUCCUCCCUCCCUUUUGGAAGCCAGAACUUCAGGGUCAGACCCUUUGUACCUCAUCAAUUUCAUUCUGACUCUUUCCAGCAGCCCCUAAGCUCGCUGGUUUGUAUAUGCAUAUGUAUAUGCUAUAUGUAUAUGUUUUGUAUAUUCUCUGUCCAGAAACAACCCCACUGCUUUCCUGGUCUGCUGAACUUCCACAAGAUCCUUGCUUUGGAUCCAAUAAUACAAGGGGUAGCUGCUCUGCCAGUGGCAGUCCUAAUCCAAGUGGGUAAGGAUAGCUGUUUAAAAAAAAAGAGCUGUAGGCAUGCUUGAGCAGCCUGCAGCAUGCCCAGCAGUAAUGCCUUCAUUUAGAGCAGCCUUGCAGUGUCUCCAGGCUUUCACAGUUUUUGAGUGGGUAAGUAAAAUGUGAUUAAUUUCUCAGUAAUGUAUUGAUUCAGUGAGUAGAUUUUUGUAUGUGGACUUAGUUAUUGAUUGGGCAAAUUUGCAAGGAUGUUUGAAGCUUGAAUCUUUUCCUACCAGAAAUAUGGUGAGAUAGACAUGUAUAUAUAUACAUACAUAUAUAUAGGUAAACAAGGAGAUACUUGUGGUUCUGUUUUUCUCCUGCUUUCCUUAAACUGAAGCAAUAAACGAGUAUGAUCAAAAGAGCUGGAAUAAUCAAUCUGUCCUUACACAGUUGAUCUGAGAGCCCUAAUUAAAGCCACAGAGGAAUUAAACAUAAGGUUUCUUGUUCUCUCUGCAACAUUGUCAAGUACAGUAUGCUCUUCUAUUAUGGAACUCAUACAGUUCUGAUGUACAGAGUAAAAUUGUGAAGGUGAAAUACCUUACCUACAAACAUUCCAAGGCCAUGUAUCUGCUGGGAGGACAUCUCUGUUAUUCUGUUCCCUUCUAUUUAAGCUCUCACAUGGCGUUAAUCACCAUGGUAUCGUACGGCUUUAUAAAAAUAUAGUGCACCAUAUGUGAUAAAUCAUUAGUAUCUUUAAGAAUGAAGAUGCUAGAUAAAAAUAUUUGUCACAAAUCUAAUGCUGAAGAUGUGCAUCUAUAGCCAUACCCAUACAUACAGCCUGAAUGAAAUAAGUGAAUGUAUUGAAUACCAGAGAUGGGGUCAGAAUCUUUCUUUAGGUGAUAACACUGCAUGCAGUCACUCUAUGUAUAGAGUUUGAAUGGCAUAUUCACUCCUUUCUUCCCUAACCCAUGCUGUAGUACACUAAAGCAAAGGGAAUACGUGCAAGCCACAUCCCUGUGCCCUGUGCUGUACCACACAGGAGUGCCUGCUUUGCAGUGCUCAAGGUCAGCAGUCAAAAGAAAAGAACUUGCUGAUAAAUUCAAAGGGAGCUUUUGCAUUUAUUGUCAAACGCUCACAUAGUUAAAAUCCAAGCAUUAAGCAAGAUGAGGGACUGUACUUCUAUUGGAAGGAAUGCAGUAAAGUUGUUAUCCCCUCAAAUGGUCAUCUCACACAUUUUUGCAUGUUUUUCAUUUUCCUCUUAGUUUCAUCCAGAUCUGUUUCGUAUUUAUACUGUAAGUGUCAACACAUAAAUAAUUUUCUCUGUUGUAUCCCUUGCUACUAAGUAAUUUUCCUUGAUGGAGCAGCAGAAGUAAUUAUAUUUAUAAAUGGAAUGUCUGUUUUGCCUAAGUACCACAUCUAAUUCCCUUCUGUAAGGGGGAUUUCUAUAAUUCCUCCAAAAAUGUCUUGGCAAAGACCAACCCACCAGUUGGUAGCACGGACCCGGCCUUUAGGGACAGAACUCAGGGUUCCCAUUCCUUUGGCCAGCAGGCAGGAGGGCACCAUAGAAAAGAAUGCCCUGGUUUGUCUGAGAGAAUGGUGCUGAUGUUAAAUAUGUGCAGUUAUUAAGCAGCCUAGCACUGAGAGUUGCUUGCCACCUGUGGGUUUCGCUGUUCAGCGCAGGAUUAUUUUGGCAACUGAAGCAUUCUUCAUUGUGGAUGGCUGUGGGAAGAUAUUAAUCCCGCUCUUUGAGUAAGAUACACUCACUGAUCUAAUAGAUCUGUUCCACUUCUACUGUAUGAUAUUGUGAAAGGAAAUCAAACAAGUCCUAAGUAAAAGGAUGAGUAAUCUCGCGUCCUUCUUAUCUGCUUUCUACAUUCUUUUUCAGCCUUUUUCUGCAGACGAGCUGAGUUGUCCCUUGCUUUACAGGAGUAGAAUGGAGGGAGAUCUGUUGUGAAUUCUGCAUUAAGGACAGUUCAGUUUUUCAUCUCUGGGUGCUCCUUGAGAAAACCUGAAUCAGAAUCAUUGUAUGGGGAUGGUGGAUCCUGGCCGUGAAUAGUUCACAGCCUGCUCACUGAUGGAACAGAGACAGGCCUCAUAGAACUUAUCUGCGCUGCAGGAGGAUGAAAGCAUCAUUUUCUUACUGGGUUCUCCAAAUCUAGUGAAUAUUCCUGUACAUUGUUUUCUUUAUUCUUAUCUCAGUAAGUGCUUUCAGUAAGGGUGUGUCCAGGGUAUCUAUUAAGCAGUCAGACAUUAUGUUCCUACAGAUGUGGCAAACAUGAAGAAGGUUUUACCAGAGGGCUGGAAACUGGUGCACUGUGUGGUUUGGGAGCUGCAAAUGCAGGGAUCUCUAUGACAUGUAUAAUGUGAGGUGAGAGAUCCUUGGCAUGCAGCGUGGUGGAAAGAAUGCCUAAACUUCUCGUCUCAUGGACCCUGCAGCAGGACUAGCAUUUCCAUGGGUAGCAGUUCCUCAACUGCCAGAGCUUCCAGCACCCAACUCUCACCAAAACCACAGUGAGAUCAGAAGUCAGCACACGCUGCUCCUGAAGCUCAGCAGCUCCUAGGCUGGUAUCUUUAACGUACAGCAGUUCAAACUAGCAGGGUAGGUGCUUUGAACCAGCUAGCAGCAUCGUCCCAGCAGUGUGAGCCCAUGAUCCAUCAGGCUGGGUAUGCUCCUGGUGCUUUGUUCCAGUGCUCCAUGGCCCUACUCUUGCCCUCCCACUAUGUCUGGCUUUGCUGCUCUGAAGCUGUGUGUGAGUGAGCUGCAGCCUCUGAAGUGCAGACAAACCAAGGUCCCUUUCCCACUUGAUGGUACAUUUAAUCAGAGGCAUCUCACAAGAUUUGGACUGUAGUAUUUCCUCCUCUCUGUGUACUCUUGCUAAGUGCUCAUGUUUAUUUAAGAUGUAACUUUAUGAGCGGUUUUCCUUUAUCUCAGUAAUUCAUAUACACAGUACAAAUUCUGUCUGUCUCUUCAGCUUUUGCAUUCAGCUGCUUUGACUGAUCUAGCACUGCUGAUUUACCAGCUUGUCUGAAAAGAAGGAAGAUUGAUGUUGGCGCAAGUAAAAUACUGAGAUGCCUAUGGAGUUUUCUUGCCCUAGAUUUUUGGAUUGCUAUUUAUUUAAAAUGUAGGCAGAACUCUGACUUUAGAUUUUCAGGAAUGCUUGCCUUAUGUCAGUGUUUCUAAUUCUUUGAGUCAAGUCAUUGUGGUUAGCCAAUCUUGUUUUCUGUCUCUGUGGUAAGAUUUUAAAUCCAGAGGGCUAACCUCAAUGCUCCCCCAAGAAAGGAGGCUGUGAUGACGAUGCAUUUCCUUCUUUGACCUCUGCAGUAGGGCUUUAAAGAAAGAUGGAAUCUGUCAAAUUAGGCUGAGCGCCAGGUCACCUGCGUGAGGAUGAAAGGGUCAAACCCUGCUCCUCUAGCAAUAUAUGAAGCAAAAAUAUACUGGAACAUUUUUAAAGCUAAUUUAUCUUUAAAUACUGCUUUUUACUAAAUGUGGACUCUAUGAACUGUAAGAUUCUGUUGUGCUUGUGUGCAUCACAUGGCUCUGCGACACUUCAGAGCAAACUUGAGGCUAUUGGGAUCUUUGAAUUCUGCAUUUCUCUGCAUAUAUACCUAUCUUGAAGUUCCUGACUUGGUAAUGUUUGGAGGGGAUAAAUAUGAUAUAAAUAAAUAUGAGCAGUGUCCCUCAGGGGUCGGUCAUGGGACCGGUGCUCUUCAACAUCUUCAUCAAUGACAGAUGAUGGCAUCGAGUACACCCUCAGCAAAUUUGCAGAUGACACAAAGCUGAGUGCUGCAGUAGAUAUGUUGGAGGGAAGGGAAGACAUCCAGAGGGACCUGGACAGGCUGGAGAAGUGAGCCCAUGAAAACCUAAUGAGGUUCAAUAAGGCCAAGUGCAGGGUGCUGCACUUGGGUCGGGGCAAUCCCAGGUAUUUAUACAGACUGGGGGAAGAUCUUCAGAGCAGCACUGCGGAGAGAUGAGAAGCUGGACAAGAGUCAGCAGUGUGUGCUUGCAGCCUCUCCUAUGAGGAAAGGUUGAGAGAACUGGGCUUGUUUAGUUUGGAAAAGAGGGGGCUCUGGGGAGACCUCAUUGUGGCCUUCCAGUACUUGAAGGGAGCGUAUAAACAGGAGGGGGAACAGCUGUUCACAAGGGUAGACAGUGAUAGAACAGAGGGGAAUGGUCUUAAACUGAGACAGGGGAAGUUUAGGUUAGAUAUUAGGAGGAAGUUUUUCACAUAGAGGGUGGUGACGCACUGGAACAGGUUGCCCAAGGAGGUUGUGGGUGCCCCAUCCCUGGAGACAUUCAAGGCCAGGCUGGAUGUGGUUCUGGGCAGUGCGGUGCGGACAGAUGCAGACUCCCUGCACUUCUUCCUUAUUAGCAACGUAAUCACCCAUGAUCUAAAGAACCAGUUGGAUUGGAGCCUGUUUAAUGAGUGGACGAUGGGAGGACUGCUGGGUACACAAUGCCCUCUGACUGGAAAAUGUGAAACUCUCAAAGUCAAAUCAAAAUAAAAGCAUAAUUUGGAAGCUCACGUUAAUAGUGAAGGAACGGAUGACCACUUUGUCACCAAUGCCACUUUGGCAUUACUUAAGACUGACCUGAAUUCUGGAUCUGGCUGGUCUGUUGAUCUAUGAUCAUAAUGAUCCUUUAAUUACUUGGCUUAAUUACAGCUAAUUUAUUCUAGUGACAGGUUUACCUAUAUGUAUUUCUAGGUUUCCAUGUUAUUCUUCACUGCGAUAAUUCUGAGACAUAAAAGAUACAGCAAGCCAUGCCUUCUAAACACCCACUUAGAAGUCACAAAGCAUGUUGACCUUUAUGGGUAAAUUUUCAAUAAAAUAUUCUUCAAUCAGGCAGUAAAUAUUAUAGCCAUGAGAAAUAUCCUGCAUUCUUCACACACACACACAGCCGGGGACUGGAAUCACUCUCGACACCGUUUCAGCUGUGCACUUAUGACCUGUACUUCCAUAAUACCUCUUGGCUGUGAUAUUAGUGCUGGGUGUACCAUCGGUGUACACCUACCUUUUCAUGUCAGCUCUGAUAGAAAGAUGCAGUUAGCAGACGGCAUCAGGUAUUAAUGCAGAAGUGACCUUUUAAUGUCACGCAUAGGUAUAUGAAGAAAGAACUGCCACUGAAAACUUCUGAUUAAAGAUAAAAGUAGACAGCCUAUAAAAACAUUAAGAUAAAAAGUAAAGCCAUGUGCCCUGAGUUUCCCCUGCUAUCCCACCUCCUACUCUAAAUUGAUGUUGUCAGCACUCAUGAUUUUAUCUCCAAUCUUGUGAUGUUUGAUGUUUCACUUGCACUCCAGCUACUAGAGUUGUGUAAUGAGGUUAGAAGCCCAGCUUUCCUUUUUCUUUAAAUUAAAGUCAGUUUCUAGUCCUAAUGGUUAGAGUAUAAAGCUUGCAAAUGUGACCCAGGUGCACCCUAACAGCUCAAAACCCAGGAAGCAAAGUAAAAGAUCUCCACGUUUAUCAUUUUACAGACAGACUUAUGAUUUUGAGGGCCAAACUGUAGUUUUUUGAACAUUUGGAGAUGGCAAUGGAGCUCAAAAAAGAAAAAAAAAAAAAAAAGCAUCUGAAUGAAGUACCACAAUAUGUUACAUUUUCCAGAGAAGCAUAGUAGUCGUUAUAUCGAGAAUGAAAAUUCUUUUAUCGGACAUACAUGUUUUCCUAUUUACUUUGGUAUGCAGCAUACCUGAGUUCAGCCCCACACUGCCUGGGAUGGAGGGGGUUGUAUUUAAUAAUGCUUAUUGCAGUGAUCCAGCAAGAAACUAGAAACACCCUGCCUUGCCAGUCCUGAAACAAAGGAGCACACCAACCAACCAAUUAGAAACGUGUAAAUGCAAUGUCUAAAAUGCUUGGGUUGGCUUAAGAAGCUCCAGAAGUACCAAGCACAGGUUUUAAUGAACAGAUCAGAAAUAUUCAGCUGUUUUUGUUGUUUGUUUUUUUCUUAAACCAUGCUUGAGGCAGCAACAACCAGACUCGAAGAAGGCACAGCGUUUAAAUGGAGCUCCAAGUUAAUGGAGACUUGGGGUCACAAAAUCAAUGGAGUCACAAAAAAUGGGAAUUAUAUCUAGAACUGGGGAGGUAUGCAAAGCACUGAGUGCAGCUGGAGUGCUGUAUGGGUGCAUUGGCUAGAAGUUCUCUGUAUCCUCGGAUGGGUGGUCCUAGAGGUCCCUCACAGCUUGCUCUAAAUUACUGUGUAAUUCAUUAUGGAAGUGAAAAAAUUACAGGUAAGUGUUAGGCAUUGUGGUGAAGUGUACUUGCCAGUAAAAGCUGGAGGACUCUGAGACUCAGCGACUACAUUAGUAAGUAGAAUACGUGGGAAUGUUGUUUCACCAAUAUAAACACAUAUGACAAACUACAAUUUAGUAAUAUAUUAAAAUAAGUAGUAUGUAAUUCUGAACUAAACAAGCUCAUGUGAACCUAUACUGACUGUGAAUAAUUUUGAUCUUGAAUUCAGAAGAAAGCUGAAGAAAUCAUUUCUGAAUCUCAAUCACUUUGCUGAGACCAAAGAGCAGGUAUAUUUUGGGGUGAGUUAGUUUGUUUUGCAUCAUGACCCACCUUAUUUAAGGCUGUGGAGUUAGAUCUUUUAUCGAUAUAUUGAAGAACUGUAGAAAAUCUCUGUCUUGCAAGAGGUAUUUUCUUCAGCCUUUUAAAGAACUUAAAAAAAGAACUUAAAAAUGUAGAAUGAAAAUUUACCUUGAGGAAGUGCAAGCCAUUGGAAGGGUGUGCAUCUUUCUUAUGUUGGUUUCUGUGAAGAGGAAACUGAACUUUCUGCUCAUGCUCUCCCUCUUUAUAAUCUUUUUUUGUUUGUUUGUUUCCUUCUAGCUCUGUUAUCUCUGAUUGCUUUCAAGUAUACCCAAAUCAUCAACCCUGAAUUAAAAUGAAAUGUCUCUUAUUCUCAUCUGUGCAGACUUCUGCUGUUCUGAUAUCAGUCAGUUGUACUUCUUAGAUUUUAAAUGAGUAAAUUUGGAAAGAUUUCUCCACACUGUGUUCGUUCUUCCACAUCAGUCUGUGGCAGGACUUCUACUGCCGAACAACGCAAUGCUAAUAAUGGGAAGUGUAUGAACUCAUUGCAGUACAGCUCUGAGUAGAUAAAGCUGCUUUCAAGCCAUCGAUUUGACUUUGAAAUUCCACCACAUGCAAAUUAAAAUGCUAGAAUUGUCGUUCUGUGAGUUUAUCUCCUCUUCUGCCUCCUAAGCAUUAAUUAUUGUGGUCCUGACACUCUGUUCUGCCCUCUUCUUCUCUGUCCUCCUCCCCCUUUCCCACUGUUACUCCCAAUGGCUGGGAAGUCUUCCCAGUACAACAAUCCAGUUCAUCUCCCAAUAAGGGCCAUCAGCCAACACAUUCUGGGCCUAAAUUCAUCUCAUAAAUAUCGGUACAGACUUAAAUAAAUGCAAUCCCUCAGCUAAUGUACUAGAUUUCAAUGGAAUUACAUGGGGAAUUAAUUUUCCUCUGCCUGUAGUCUGUAAAACAAUAAAAUAGGGAAAUGCUUAGAGGCUAUGGAUUGGAUUUCCAAACUGGUUGAAAGGCUGGCUCUCCCAUGUCACCAUUAAUGUAGACAUCAAGAUACUCUUGAUGGACUCAUCCUUUCUAUACAAACAUAUAACCUAUUAGGCCUCAUUGAAGACAUGAGCACCUCAAGUUGGCAGAAUUGUCAAGAGUCAGCCAGCAGUGCCUUACAGUUAUCUGUUACACAUAAUGGCAUCUGUUUCAGGAUGUGUGUAAUUUCUGCUACAUGUGAUGACACCUGUUGGUCUGUGUUCAUCCAUUUAAUAGCAAUACUUAGCAUUUAUGUAGCACUUCACAAAGAAGCGUGCAAAAGCAGUUGCAGGAAUUAAGCUGGUGAUGUCCAGCAGGGUAUGUAUCGUUCAUCUGACAUGCACUGGAGCAUGUAAUAUUUUGUUAACUCUUAUGUGCCUUGUGACUUGUUCUACUACCAAAAUGCCAAAAUGAAAAGCGGAGUAUCAGGAUAUUCUAGCACACCUGUUCUUCCACCUAGUAGAGUGGAAGGGCACACAAGUAAUGAAUCCAGGAUGAACUUUUCAGCUAAAACUUCAUUUAUUUUUUUUCUUUUAUUUAUUUUAUUCUUUCGUUUCCCAUCCUUUUGGUCUGCAUACUGUACCUUGUUCUCUUUCUUUAUCAUGUUUCCCCAUUGCCAUUAGUUCCUCUGGUUCCCAUUCAUUGCCCUCAGAAGGAUCCCUCCACAUCGUUCAUAAUUUCUCUCCCUCACUUCCUCUGCUCAUCCCAAGAUCUCAGGCAGCAGUGGCUGAAGCAAUAGUCUGCUGAAAGAGCAAACCAUUUUCUGCACAAAAUGUAGAGAAACACUACAGAUUGUUCUUUUGUUUUCUCUCUUAAUGGAGAAACAGAAAAUGUAUAGCCAGUUGAUAACAGUAAAUCUGUAGCUGAAUGUCAUCUUGCUGCAAGAAGUAUCAUAAAUAUAAGGUACCUAUAGGCGCCUUAUGUUUAUGAUCUGAGCAAAGUCUUCCUUAACUGUUAGUAUUCUCAGUUCCGUAUUUAUGUAUUGAUGAUGCCUGUAGGAAAACGCAGACAGUCCAGAUCUGUGCAUUAAUGAAAUGAAUGGAUUUUUACUGUGAAAUAUAUAAACAUGUGUAUAAAUAUACAUAUAUAUAUAUAUGAACUCUUCCAGAAUGGGCAGCAUACAAAUUGCAGUCAUUUGCAUGCUGAUUGCUAUCUUGAUACAACGGAAUCUGUCCUAGAGCCCUUUGCUGACUGCUCAUGAAUCAACCAGGUCUGUUAUCACAGCGCAGAGUGUUUGAACAGAAGUAUUUCCAUUUCACAUUAUUUUCUAGCUGCUUUCUGAAAAUAGAAGUAAGAAUACAAUAGCUGGGACUCCUUAUAAAAUCUUACAAUAUAAGUUCAGGGAUAUUCACCAUUGGCCUUGAUGGAGCUUUCACACAUCCUUGAAAGGGAUUCAUUAAGCUGGAAAAGCUGGCUGGAAACCAGUCUUCCUAUAAUGUCUUCCAUAAUUUGCUUCAAGGGACACAUUUACAGUCACUCAGCCUUUUUUAUAGAUCUUGUGCAAGACGAAGGGCAGGGUCACAAUUGCAAGACUUUAAUGAAUAGAUGUUUCUUGCAUGCCACAACCAAAACAAUUUUUCAAGCAACUCAGCACAGUGCAGUAUUUCAAUAUGGACUUUCCCAAGGAUGUGCAAUGGGAUGAUAGUUGCAACCUCUGCAUUCAGAAUGGCCACUUUUUUUCAGCUGCUCCUUCUUCGAUGCUGAUCCAUUCAGAUGCAGAAAGAAAACAUCCAGCAACCAUAAUUUCUACUCCUGAUUUUUCUUCAAGGAGCUGAAGAUUUCAGCUAUUUCCUUUUAACCACAUCAACCCCUGUACAGGUUUGCAUGGAAACAGAUUGAGGUGUAAAGACUCCUCCAAUUAAUAAAACAUCAUUGAAACUUAUCUAUUAGGUAUAGCCAGAUCUCAGAGUGACAUUCUGCUUGUCAAAGUAGUGCUAAGAUCUGCUUCAUGAAGUCAGUUUAAUUUAUGAGAAUGAUCUCUCAUUCCCAUUCCACCAAACGCUACCGAUGGACUUACCGGUUAGAGAUGGAACAAAAACGAGAUGGCUUUUUGGGUUUGGAUUUCAUUAGAAUUUUAAAAUGGGGAAGUAGAUUUGCCUGCUGGCCUUUGAUUAACAAAUACGAAUUCAGCCAGAAACGUUUUCUCUGAAGGUAGCCCAAUUAAGAACAGCUUCCUUCCGAGUUCCCCUUGUCUGUCUGUGAAAACUGGGCACGCUGGCACUGGGCUUUUUUUUCUGGACAUUUUCCACCUGGUCACAAACAUUGGAAGUCCUGUCUUAGCAGGGUAAGCCAAGUAGCUGUUGCACAAAGGAACACUGAAUGCAUUUAUGUAAUGCAACAGAGACAGCCUUGAAUCACCAUAUUGAUAUACAAAGGAUCAGAUAGUAAACUUUUUAUUAGCAGCCAGGAAUUUCUUUUGAAAAUGAUUCUUUUUCUUUGACAUCCCUACAUAUGUGCUGAAGGAUGCUGGUACAGUUUCUUCCUAUCAAGACGGGAUAUAAUGUGUGACUGUGUUCUAGAAAAGUGUUACUUUUUUUUUUACAGAUUUAUAAUUUUUUAAUGUCAGACCACCAUAAAGCUUUCAAGCAAGAGCUGCUGGCCAAAAUUACAUGAGGAAAGUGCACGUUAUGCUCCAUUUCCCUCCGGGAAAGGAGGUAAACGCAGGCAAUCUGGACUGGGAGGGCCAGAACAGAGGUAAGGAGGCUCUUGCUGAGUUUCUGCUGGCGGUCGGUACUCCCAUGUCUUCCCAAGAUGGAAAUACAAAAGGAGCAAUACAAAAUAGCAAAGAAAGGAUAUUGUAUUCUGCUGAAUACCAGCUACUCUGGGGACUGGGCAGCACUGUGUGGUCAUUGCAUCCUGAAAGGGGGAAGGAGACAGCGUCCACGAAUGGGGGAACAAUAUUGAUGUUGAAUUAACACCGCUGGCAGACAUAUGUGGUAGGCAGGGCUGGUGGAUACUGUUCAUCAACUGCAUGGAAAAGCAAUGCACUGUAACACUCUCUGGCAUUUUGAAAUAGUUGUAAAGUCUGUGCAGCACAACCUGAAACUAUUAUUAUCUGAUUAGUCACAGUGCUGCUAAUUGCAACAGUCACCUUAUACCAAGGAAGCUAGUUUAAGGAACUGAGCUUGGGAUAAAGACCACCUAAUUUAGGUCCUCAUUAGUCAUUGCAAUAGCUAAAAUUAGGUGACUGACUCCAGCAGGACAAGCCAAGUCACUCCUUAUACACUUACUCUUCAUUUACAAGAGUGAAUCAAAAAGGCAUACGGCUUUCCUGGAUGAAGGCAGUGUUGGUGGGAUUUAACUGCUGCUAAAUGCUGCAUUUGCAUUUGCUUCUCUCCCUGAAGCUCCAGCCCUUGCCCCAGGGCUGUCCUGUGGGAACUGCUGUCCUGAGCUUUUGGAAGCUCUUCUCUUUGGUGCCAAACCCAGCUGAGCUCACUCUGCUAAGAAAAAAGCAGAGGCACCAGGCUGAGCAGAGCCCACUGUAUGCCUUUCCUGCUUCCUGAGCACGUGUCCAGAAGGCUCUGAGAGAGAUGGGAAGGGAUUUUGCCUUCAUCACAGUGUUUCUGUCAGCAUGUGUCAGAAUCUUCUGAGUCUGUCCUUGCAGUGAUCCAUCAAGUGACUGGUAGGGUUUGGUCUAAGUGUAGGUUGUGGGAGUGUAGUUCCUGAAGGGAGAGUAGAAAGAGGACAGAACCAGGCUCCUGUCAGUGGUGCCCAGUGCCUGGACAGAGGCAGUGGGCACAAACAAGAGGUUCCCCUGAACACCAGGCAGCACCACAGUGCUGUGCUGGUGAUGCACUCUGGCACAAGGACCCAGAGACUGCAGGCUCUCCUCCUUGGAGAUGUCCAGGAGCUGCCAGGAUGUGGGGCUGGGCUCUCUGCUCUGGGUGGCCCUGGCGGGGCAGGGUGAGACCAGAGGCACCCAGAGCUCCCGCUAGCUUCAGCCAGUUGGAGUUCUAUGACUGUGAUUCCCCGAUUCUGUGGUUCUGUGAUGCUGUGACCACCUGGCCUUCCAGCUGAACAGAAGGUCCCCUUGGGGCUGACAGUGACAGCAGUCAGGCAGCACUCCCUUUGGCACCCCUGAACUGAGAUGCCUCAAUCCAGAGGAUCAGGAGCACAGAUUACACCAAGCACCUUCCUGAAAUACCAGUCAGUGCACGAAUUGCUUCUGCCCACAGGCAGCAUUGUGUGGCUUGGUGUCAGAAGGAAGCAGAUCAGGUGUUUCCUUGUGUGCACCGAAGUAGUAUCUGCUGCCCAAGAUGCUGACAGGGACAUCUGAGGUCACCCAGUUCAGCCUGCAGACAAACAUGAUGUCAUCUCUAUCAGUGUAUGAGCAAACCCCCAUUCUAAAAGCAGUUCUGCUUGCUUUCCUUUCUCUCUCCACUUGUUUUGCUCUCCCAUCCUCCUGCAGUGGGGUUUUGUCCACCCUUUCUUUUUCAUUUUUCAGCCUGUGUUUAUUCCAGGCCAGUUUUGCCUGUUAUACUCUCAUGUCUAGCUUUUGUCUCCACAAUUUGCUUCCUGAUGGGUGAAAAGGAAGAUGGAGUCCACAAGAGAAAAGUUUGAUAUCGCCAUUUUUGUGCACAUGAAAUACUCAGAUCUUUGUGCUUGAUUAGACAAUUUUGAGAUGCAGGCAAAUGAUAAUUACAUUGGUCACAAAACAUUUAACUGACAAUCUGAAGUAGCCAUUAGAAAGAAAACCCUUCUAGAACACGAACUUUUUCUUUUAUUAAACAAUUUAUAAUUUGGUCAUACAGUGCUCGAAGAUGCUUACAGCUGAAUUUUAAAGUGUGCCGAUUUCACUUAGUGUCACUUUACAUUCUGUGGGUUGGAAGAUCUGCAAAGCCUUUCGCCAGGCAGAGAGAAGUGCCCUGGAUCCUCCCGGCUGUACCAGAGAAGCCUGAGCUGCUACCCGCAGCAUCCCUCACCACCACCCCGGCAUCUUUGUGCUCUUCAUCUCCAUCACGUCAGCCUGGAGACAUGAUGUGAAGCCAGUUUUGUAAAGGAGGUGGAACAGAACAGCAUGGGCUUGGGAGCGGGACGGCGAGAGUAGCGAAAUGUUCGCUCACUGUGUGCAGGUGACUGGUUAGGAGGAAGUGUGAACAUUUGCUGGCUCGCCUGGCACAACAGAGCACUUCGAACAGCCUUCCCUUGUGAUACAUUUGAGGCAAUUUUAUUUGGAAUUUCUGUCCAAGUAACAUUUUAAACUUUUUUUUUUUUUUUUUGGAUCAAAUUAACAUAUUGGUCUUUGGGACGUUCUGCUCAAUGCUGUAAGACUGCUUCCUCUUCCUGCCCUUCCUCAGUGCUCAUAGAAUCAUAGAAUCACCAAGGUUGGAAAAGACCCACAGGAUCACCCAGUCCAACCAUCCACCCAUCACCAAUGGUUCCCACUAAACCAUGUCCCUCAGCACAACGUCCAAACCUUCCUUGAACACCUCCAGGGUCGGUGACUCCACCACUUCUCUGGGCAGCCCAUUCCAGUGCCUGACCACCCUUUCAGGGAAGUAGCAUUUCCUAACGUCCAGCCUGAACCUUCCCUGGUGCAGCUUAAAGCCAUUCCCUCUAGUCCUAUCACUAGUCACACGAGAACUCAGCUCACACCCGCCGGCUACACAACAUAAAAACUGGAUAGGUGUAAUCAGCAUUACAGAUACUAAUUCGCAAUGGGACAAAACCCAUUUGAAUUUGUGCAUAUGCAUCAGCAGCACUACCUAUAUUGAUCCACAAGGAAUGAAACCGAUUUGCAGAUAGGUGCAUGCAUCUGAAUUGUGAGCAGCCAUUUGGAGGUCUCGACUCAUGGUCUGCCCUCUGCAGCCAGGUCUGCAGGCCAACACUGUAAGCAGUUCCUUCCAUAUGUUUGUGCCCUGGGCACACCAACAGCCUCUGCAGACCCCAACCAGCCCUGGGCAUUGGCUGUGGGUGCUGCUGGCUCCCUGCACUGGGUGCAAUGUGGGCUCCCAGGGUGGGGGCACAAAAUGUAUUCCUCAUCUUGAGCAUUAGCAGCUCCUGAGCAGGCACCUGAGCACCAGGGUAAUGCAUCUUCCUGCAUAUUAGUACUUCACUUCAUCACAUGCAAGCUCUUUUCUUCACCUCUGUUCCUCCAGAUGGAUGACUGUUUGGGGAUGGAAGGCUUUUUUCCCCUUUAGCUGGACCAAGGCCAUCCAGCGGAGUGAGCAGCAGGAGGUUUUGAAAGAGAGAUACUGCUAGCACUGUUUCCACAUACCCGAAGACUGAUCUUUAUGCAGCUGAGACUACAAGGGAUAUCCCUUAAAAUAAAGGGCAGCUUAUUACCCAUCUUCUCCAACUCCUGUGGAACGAAAUAUCCUAAAGUUGAGAGAAGCUGCUGCACAAAGCUUCUUUAUAGCUCUCAGUGUGCCUCCUUUGCUGGCUCCAGCUGCCCCUACGCUCUGUUUUUCCUCAGCCUUUUCUUCAAUAUUUUUUCCAGUUGACUUAGUUAUUACAGUACACGGACCAGAGCGAGGAAAAUACCCUGAAGGUGGGAGCUGGCAGAGCGGGGGGUGGCAAUGGAAGCGCUGUUGCCAUCCCAUGACAUCACCUGCGCGGCCAUUGGUGGCACUGCGGUGCGGGGAGGCACUGGCCGGCAUCCCCGGGCUCACUUCCGUGACACAGAACAGAGCCGGGGCCUGUCUGCUGCCAGCCCCUUUCAGUGCCAGCCUGCUGGCAGAGCUCGGGACAUUUGUAAAAACAGUACAGUACUUUAUUUAGCCUCUAGUGAGAAAAAGUCACUUCACAGCUCCGGUUUAGGCACAAGGCGCUAACAAGCAGAUUGGAAAAAAAAAAUAAUCCCUUGCUUAAAAACGUUUCAAAUGAAAAUCAGUUUGUAUGCCAGAUGACCUCGUGGAUCUGGAGAUUGAGCCGUGCCUUUUAUCUCCAAAGAAAUGGGUUCGGAUCCUGAUUAGCCCAUAGAGGAAAUUCCAUUUAAUGGUCUAAUUUUGGUGAGCUGAAAAGCUGUUCCCUGCCUAGAACCGCCAUCUAUUAUGGGGUGAUUGGCAGUCUGUGUUCGAGGCAGAACAAGAACGUCACCUCGGCUCUACUCCUAUUACUUCAUCCUGCCAUCAGCUCUCAGCACCUAACCUCCACUUCCAGAGAGCCUGAGAAAACAGGCAGGAUUCACGGUGAAAGUGGAGUUGUGCAGCUGUGCCUGGACAGAGCGGAGCGGGCACAUGGCUAAGAGAGACUGCGGAGGUGCCAAGGGGAGGCCUGGAGAAUGGGACAGGAGGGCCUGAGAAAGCAAGAAGUACACUGAUGGAGCAAUGUUUCCAUGGGGCAAAAUGGAAAGGGGAAAAAUGAGGAAUGAGGAUGGACAGGGAAAGGAUGUCUGUGUGAAAAGUGGGAUUAGGCAUAGCCAGAGCUGAAGGCAAUGAACCAAAAUGAGUGUAACUCCACCUAAAUGUCAGGUGUAAGAGGGAGAAUCUCAGGGUUGGCUCCUGGAAUGUCUCACUGUGUCUGAAGGUUCUGGUUGGCACAGACAUGUCCUGAGUCAUAGAAUCAUAGAAUGGCUUAAGUUGGAAGGGACCUUAAAGAUCAUCCAGCUCCAACCUCCCUGCCAGGACAGGGCUGCCCCCCACCAGAUCAGGGCCCAGGGCGCCAUCCAACCUGGCCUUGAGCACCACCAGGGAUGGGGCGUCCACAACAGUCCUCAGCUGGUGCUAAAUAUUUUGCGUUCAAGGUAUCUUAGCAUGGUUUUCCUAAGUCUUAAUUCCUUGGAGCAUGAACCACUUCUGCAGGGGAGCAGAGGAUAUGCAGGACUGGUCAGCAGCCAGUUCACUUCUCCACCACGUCUUUGCAGGAAACAGAGUAAGAAAAGAACUACUCGGCUCCAGCCUAAUCGAUAGAGUAUCUCCAUGUUGUUGGGUUGUAUUGCUCCUACCAGCAUAAGCAUGUUCCUGGUGGCCUGCUGGGCUUUCUCUACAGACAUUAAAUGGAGAAAGGAAUUAGAAUUUUGUACUGCGACACUAAUCAGCCUCAUGACCCUGUUUUGUGCAAUGUUGUGAGCAGAUAGAUAAGAAAAUAUUAUCACUUCAAGGUGGUUGCAGCAGUGGGUGAAAACCUGUCAGCGGUGGGAAUGAAGGUAUUGCUGCUAGGAUGGCAUUUCAGCUUUCAGCCUUUCCUUAGUCACCUUGGCUGUCACAGCAGUGAAUGUGCUCAUAAAAUAAUCUCUGUUUGGGUGGUCUUCCUUGGAACAAUAAAAUGUGCAUUUGGGAUGGCACUGAUACUUGGAAAAAAUGCUAUAAAACCAGCAUGGCAAUUAAGUGCAAAGUACUGCCUUUGGGGAGGAGAAAUGCCAGAAGGGGACCUCCUGCCUGGGCAGCAGCAUAGCAAGGUGGGGUUGGAGCUCCAGGUGGGCUGAAGGCUGAACACAAGGGCAGGGUGGGAUGUCCUUUUCUGGCUACAGUUCUCCAGCAGCGAAAGCUGCUCUCCACAAUCCCAUUGCUUCAUCAUCUCCUCCCACCUGAGGCUUUGGCUUCUUCACACACCCCUCAGCCUUAGCCGGGUGUGUUAGAUGGAAGGCGAGAAGAGA